GUCAGUGAUCUCUAUAUAAUUAGUUGGGAAUUAAAUAAUAGCAAAAGAUUUCCCAAAUUUUAUUUCGGUAUAAGAGAUUACACAUAGUGAUCUGUGAUACUAUGUUUUAUGAUACGUUUUGCUUUUCCUCAUACUAACUUUAGCCAUUAAAUCAAAUUUUAUUCAAUGCUUCAGCUUCGUUAUACUCAAAUUAGCGACAGCUACUAUAUAUAGUUAAUAACGUAGUAUAACUUAUACUAUUACUACUACUACUAAUUAUUCUUUAUACAUUUUGUUUUAUUACGAUUAUCAAGCGUUAUGUGAUGCUAGCUUUUAAUUUGGAUUUGAGCUCAGCUCCUAUUCGGAAACCAAACUUUUAAUCCGGCUCAUAUUCAGUAGCAAUGAUCCUUGAACUCGUAGAAAUGGAUUGGCGAACGUUUGACAUCCCUAUCUCUGUUCGUUCUCGAGUUAGACGAGGAACAGACAGACGGACAAAACCAUAGCAAAUUGAAAUUAUUUUCCAGGCAAAUAUUGGCCUAGGUGUAAAGUAAAAAUUACAGAAAAAAAUUAGUGAAAGUCAAUAUAAUUGCUAACUCAAGACAACUAUUUUAAUUACGUCAAUCUAUUGCUGUAGAAAGAUAAUCUCCAAAUCCAAAGCCUGUAACGACCACUUAGUCAUUUUUCCCGGAAGGAUUGAGUCAUAUUCACCAUCGCUCUUAUCGCCGAUGACUAAUUUUUCAUGGCGCCUCAAUGUCUAUGGGGAUUUCUAGAAUGUUUGCUACAUUAUUAAGAAUAUCACUAAUAAUUCAUUUAAUAAAUCAUUCAGACUGCUGCGAAAUAAAAUUACUAUCUGAUUAGGAGAAUACAAAUUCACUACUAAACUUGGAUUUAUACUCAGUAGCCGGCUAACAUUCAACGUGAGGGUCGUAAAGUUCGGUAUUCUGCCAGGAAAACUUGCUACCUACUACAAAACUCAAAUCUUAAGGGCGCCAGAUCUAGCGAGGUAAUAAAUCCUCUUGAUCAAGGAGGAUAGGCUCUUCCAAGCAUAGCAUAAUGAAGGUGUAAAAAAACUAGGUAUUGUGGCAGAGAGGAAUUUAAUACGUCUGUAUUUCGAUUUAAAAUUAAAUAUGAUUACCUAGUAUGUAACUACAAAUUAUAAUUGUGGUGUGAAGCACGGUAACAAUAAUAAAGGAAAAAAACUAAUAGGAUUAAUUCGUCCACACCGCAAAAAUCAACAGUGUCAACAAUAUCUUACUACGGUAAUUAAUACGGGUUCUGGAUUCGCUAGCUAGCCCCCGCACCCUGUUUAUAUUUGGGCCAAAUAGAGGUUAGUACAGAUAGACCUCCCAACUGAGAACAAAACGAAUUUUCCUUCACAGGUAAGUAUUAUCAUGAAUGUAAUUAUUUGUAAUUAAAUGGUAAGAAUUAACUCUUUUGAUUUCAGUUUACAUAACCCUUGAAGAGGGUUCAUCAACUCAAAGCCACAAAAAUUAACAAACGCAGAUGCAGCAAGGUAUGGUACCAGUAAGUGCCAGAUUUCAGGCAGCGGAACAAAAAAAGCUGAAAGUUAUGAGAUACUCUAUAUCUAGCUUAAGAGAUACCUAAUUCUUACCUAGAUGUUAUAGCUUGCAACUCGUCCGCAAUGUUCUAAACUACAAAUUACAAAGUUUUAAUACUACA